AGCGAACGCUGGCGGCAGGCCUAACACAUGCAAGUCGAGCGCGUGUAGCAAUACACGAGCGGCAGACGGGUGAGUAACACGUGGGAACGUGCCCUUUGGUUCGGAAUAACUCAGGGAAACUUGAGCUAAUACCGGAUAAGUCCGUAAGGAGAAAGAUUUAUCGCCGAAGGAGCGGCCCGCGUCCGAUUAGCUAGUUGGUGGGGUAAGGGCCCACCAAGGCUACGAUCGGUAGCUGGUCUGAGAGGAUGGCCAGCCACACUGGGACUGAGACACGGCCCAGACUCCUACGGGAGGCAGCAGUAGGGAAUAUUGGACAAUGGGGGCAACCCUGAUCCAGCAAUGCCGCGUGAGUGAUGAAGGCCUUAGGGUUGUAAAGCUCUUUUACCCGGGAUGAUAAUGACAGUACCGGGAGAAUAAGCCCCGGCUAACUCCGUGCCAGCCGCCGCUGUAA
rnacentral:rRNA from 1 species